GGGUGAGUAAUAUAUCGGAACGUGCCCUGGAGUGGGGGAUAACGCAGCGAAAGUUGCGCUAAUACCGCAUACGAUCUACGGAUGAAAGUGGGGGAUCCGCAAGGACCUCAUGCUCGUGGAGCGGCCGAUAUCUGAUUAGCUAGUUGGUAGGGUAAAAGCCUACCAAGGCAUCGAUCAGUAGCUGGUCUGAGAGGACGACCAGCCACACUGGAACUGAGACACGGUCCAGACUCCUACGGGAGGCAGCAGUGGGGAAUUUUGGACAAUGGGGGCAACCCUGAUCCAGCAAUGCCGCGUGAGUGAAGAAGGCCUUCGGGUUGUAAAGCUCUUUUGUCGGGAAAGAAACGGUUCAUCCUAAUACGAUGGACUAAUGACGGUACCCGAAGAAUAAGCACCGGCUAACUACGUGCCAGCAGCCGCGGUAAUACGUAGGGUGCAAGCGUUAAUCGGAAUUACUGGGCGUAAAGCGUGCGCAGGCGGUUAUGUAAGACAGAUGUGAAAUGCCCGGGCUCAACCUGGGAACUGCAUUUGUGACUGCAUGGCCAGAGUGUGUCAGAGGGGGGUAGAAUUCCACGUGUAGCAGUGAAAUGCGUAGAGAUGUGGAGGAAUACCGAUGGCGAAGGCAG
rnacentral:rRNA from 1 species